AAGGGGCAGCGGGGUUGAAGCUUGCUUCAACUGCCGGCGACCGGCGCACGGGUGAGUAACACGUAUCCAACCUUCCGUUUACUCAGGGACAGCCUUUCGAAAGAAAGAUUAAUACCUGAUAGUAUCGAGAGAUUGCAUGAUAGCCCGAUUAAAGAUUAAUCGGUAAACGAUGGGGAUGCGUUCCAUUAGCUUGUUGGCGGGGUAACGGCCCACCAAGGCAACGAUGGAUAGGGGUUCUGAGAGGAAGGUCCCCCACAUUGGAACUGAGACACGGUCCAAACUCCUACGGGAGGCAGCAGUGAGGAAUAUUGGUCAAUGGGCGAGAGCCUGAACCAGCCAAGUAGCGUGAAGGAUGAAGGUUCUAUGGAUUGUAAACUUCUUUUAUACGGGAAUAAAACCUCCCACGUGUGGGAGCUUGUAUGUACCGUAUGAAUAAGCAUCGGCUAACUCCGUGCCAGCAGCCGCGGUAAUACAGAGGAUGCGAGCGUUAUCCGGAUUUAUUGCCCCAAAGGGAGCGCAGACGGGAGAUUAAGUCAGCU
rnacentral:rRNA from 1 species